rnacentral:rRNA from 1 species
CCAGAGAACUUAGCAGAGAUGCUUUGGUGCCUUCGGGAACUCUGAGGACAGGUGCUGCAUGGCUGUCGUCAGCUCGUGUUGUGAAAUGUUGGUUAAGUCCGCAAGAGCGCAACCCUUAUCCUUUGUUGCCAGCGGCUCGGCCGGGAACUCAAAGGAGACUGCCGGUGAUAAACCGGAGGAAGGUGGGGAUGACGUCAAGUCAUCAUGGCCCUUACGGCCAGGGCUACACACGUGCUACAAUGGCGCAUACAAAGAGAAGCGACCUCGCGAGAGCAAGCGGACCUCACAAAGUGCGUCGUAGUCCGGAUUGGAGUCUGCAACUCGACUCCAUGAAGUCGGAAUCGCUAGUAAUCGUAGAUCAGAAUGCUACGGUGAAUACGUUCCCGGGCCUUGUACACACCGCCCGUCACACCAUGGGAGUGGGUUGCAAAAGAAGUAGGUAGCUUAACCUUCGGGAGGGCGCUUACCACUUUGUGAUUCAUGACUGGGGUGAAGUCGUAACAAGGUAGGCGUAGCGAG